CAGAAAAUUACAGAAAAACACUUCCAAACCUUGAAACCAACAACAAAAAGGAAAAGCACAUUUCGAAGGGGACUCCUGAUACAGAAAAUCCCCCAAAACUGUACAAAGAACGAAUUACCUGGUAGUUACUCUAUUCACGGCUGACGCGCCCAGCCAUACUUAGGGAAAUUAACCACUACGUGAAUAACUGCUCAACAGCCAAAAUAAACCCCCACAUGUACCUGUUUCAACUCUGGUAACCGCCAAUAACUACCUCUGAUUGCCUAACAUGGCCUAGACCUCCUAUGAAAGCCAAAUUCAUAAGUCUGCAGAGCAUGUGGACUGAGCUGACACCCAAGCCCUCAGUCCUUGCAAGCGCACGCCCAAAAUUGCCCGUCCAACACUAACUUCAACAGAAGGCUCCUAACAACUUGUACACCAACCAGCACCACCUGAUUGCCAAUUGCCUUGCCAAUGCUUGUACGUUAAUAGAUACUGCCUCAUAGAGUUGUGGUGGAACCAAGGCCAAUGCCACCCAACUCAUGCUCAAGG
rnacentral:misc_RNA from 1 species